rnacentral:rRNA from 1 species
CCAAUAGCGUAUAUUAAAGUUGUUGCAGUUAAAAAGCUCGUAGUUGAAUUUCGAGAUCAGUACGCUGGUCGUGCCUUCGGUAUGCACUGGUGUCACUGGUUUCUCCCUUCUGAAGAACCGUCAUGCCAUUCAGUUGGUGUGGCGGGGAAUCAGGACUGUUACUUUGAGAAAAUUAGAGUGCUUAAAGCAGGCUCGCGCUUGAAUACAUUAGCAUGGAAUAAUGAAAUAGGACGUUUGACCCUAUUUUGUUGGUUUAUAGGAUCGACGUAAUGAUUAAUAGGGAUAGUUGGGGGCAUUAGUAUUCAAUUGUCAGAGGCGAAAUUCUUGGAUCUAUUGAAGACUAACUACUGCGAAAGCAUUUGCCAAGGAUGUUUGCAUUAAUCAAGAACGAAAGGUAGGGGAUCGAAGACGAUCAGAUACCGUCGUAGUCUUAACCAUAAACUAUGCCGACUAGGGAUCGGAUGAUGUUAAUUUUUUAAUGACUCAUUCGGCGCCUUACG